GGCGAGGGAGAUCAACCCCGAAUCCUCUGGGCUUUCUGCAAAUCGGGCAUCCCACUAAUGCCAAAACUUUGCUGGGCGGCGGCUGAGGGGGGAGCGGGGCUGUGGGGACCAUCAUUCCCUCGGGAUGCUGGCGGUGGGAUUGAUGAUGUCCGCCCUCCUCCCGGCAGCGCCAGUGAUUUGAUUUCUCUCUGCCGGCAGCGCAGCUCCCAGACAAAGGCUGUGCUCAGCCCUCGCCUUCGGGCUGGAGCUGGGGGACUCUUCCCCGAGGGGACACCAGCUCCGUCCCCAGCGCUGCCUGAGCCCGGGCUGCCGCUGGGACACGCCGGCCGUGCUCCCCGGUGCACACGCGUGUACCCACGCACACCCACACCACACGCACGCCGGCUGCUCCCCACCUCUCCGGGAAGAUCCAGCGGCCGGAUCAAGAUGACUGAAAAUACCUACAGGAUCCUGUCACUCCAGUUUUCAUCAGGAAGUAGCGUCCGGGAGAGACGGCUGAGGAACAGAAAUGAUAGCAGUCAAAAUCAUUCCAGCACCUACUUUUUCCCAAGGAACUUCAUGCCUGUAGGGGUUUGCUGUGGGCAUUUCCAUGAGUGAGGACCGACGUACCGCAGAUGCAUCCCUAUCGGAUCAUGUAAGAAUUUGCAAAUGAGAAACCUACCCCAGCAAGACCAUCUCUGCCCAGUUUGCAGUACAUGGUUUGUUGUAAGCACAGCAGUUCUCGCCUCUUUCUCUCCCUUCUAAAUCUCUUGGGCUUGGAGAUCUCUUUCCUCAUUGCAAUUAUGAUUAUUUGCAACAUCAGUGCCAUCAAAGAUUGGAGCACAUUCCUCUCCCAGAUCCUGCCCAGCGUUAACAAGACUCUGAACUUGGUACAGCAAGUGGAAGCCACCACCAGCUCGGUGGUAAGUGUCCUCCAGGACCCUGAGCAGGACAACUACCUGUCCAACAGCCAGUCUAUGAACUCCAGCAACUUCACGGCUGGCCUGGACCACUUGUUCCAGUACUCGUACUCAGACAAUGACCAGCUUUACAAGGAGUACAAACCCCCUCCUCGAGACGCCAUUCCUUUGCCCAAGGCUGUCCUCUACCUUCUCAUGGCAGCCCUGGUGGUGGUGGCAGUGGCGUACGCCAUCGUCGGGCAUCUCAUCAAGGACCUCAUUCACGACUUUAUAGACUGGAUCUUCGGCCCCAGCCCUGAUGACAACAGCAACAAAAGCGAUGUCAACUGCAUCAGCAACAGCGUCAACGAGAUGAGCGAGAUCCCCGAGGCGCCACGGCACCGGGACCGCCAGCCCCAGGACGUGGUCAUUGCCAUCGGGGAGACCUGCCACCUCCCGCAGCAGACAUGA
rnacentral:lncRNA from 1 species